AUUGAACGCUAGCGGGAUGCUUUACACAUGCAAGUCGAACGGAGUGGCUGACGGGUGCGUAAUAUAUCGGAACGUGCCCAGUAGCGGGGGCUAACUCCUCGAAAGAGUGGCUAAUACCGCAUACUCUUGGCGCGGCCGAUCUCGGCUUAGCUAGGUGGUGGGGUAAAGGCUCACCAAGGCACCGAUCCGUAGCUGGUUUGAUAGGACGACCAGCCACACUGGGACUGAGACACGGCCCCGACUCGUAAGGGAGGCAGCAGUGGGGAAUUUUGGACAAUGGGGGAAACCCUGAUCCAGCCAUCCCGCGUGUAUGAUGAGGGCCUUCGGGUGGUAAAGUACUUUUGGCAGAGAAGCGGUAUCUGCAGAAUAAGCACCGGCUAACUACGUGCCAGCAGCCGCGGUAAUAC
rnacentral:rRNA from 1 species